rnacentral:lncRNA from 1 species
AUGCAUCCACCAAUUAGAAGCCAGGUGUCCUGUUCUGUUUCAGAGCCAGAGGAAGGGGGCGGGACUGAGGGAGGCGGCCGGGGAGCUGGACCUCCCACCUCAUCUGAGGGCACGCCCCCCGACCCCCGCCGAAAAAUACAUCCAUGUAAGCCCCUCCCCUCCUGUACCCCAGACAACUCAGGCUUUGAUUGGCUGGAGGUCUUCCCAGCCACAUCUCCAGCUAGAGGUCUAUGGCAAGGAGACCCAUGGGAGGCGGAGCUUCCUGAAGGAACUGGGCUGGACCCUAGAAUCUUGCACCUGAUUGGAUAACUGACCUCAUGGACAUGGACCCGGAGUGCUGUGGGAUCCAGUCAAAAUGCUGAAUGUAGAUUGUAGAUUAAAUAUUUCAGUUUGAUCCACCACUAAAUCAUUUCUUGGUUUAUUGUUGAAAUAUUUGUUGUAAAAAAGUCUCUUCCUUGUUUCUAUAUUGUAGUUUUUAAAGCAGUUAGUCUGCUUAUUUUGUGAAUCUUUAUGUAGCCUACUCAAAUUGUGGCAAUGUUUUGGGUAUCUCUUAACAAUUGACGCACUUGCUGUAAGAUGCUUUGGAUAAAAAUGUCUGCUAUAUAAAUUUAUGUUGGUCAAUAUGCAUAACAACUCUAGUUGACAAAUCGAUAGAUUUAACUUAAAAUCAAUCAUAAAUCAACCAAUGUAUUACUGAAUUAGCUAAUACUCAUUCAUUGAUUUCGCUAUUAAUUGGCCAGCUGUCAAUUUAUAUAGAGAAUAUAAAUCAGCUGAUCAAGCCAGAAGCUAAUAUACAAUCUGUCUGAGAACAUUUAACACAGGAACCCUACAGAGAAAUAGGCUGCUCCCUACUAAGAAACUACCUCCCUACUAGUUAAUACUUGAACUUCUUUUCUCAAGCGUAUCAACACACCUCAUGCUCAACCACAGAAACAUUUCUCCCUAACACUUCAAGUAGGCUGUAUUAAAGCAUGCAACUGGGGCACAAAAUAAUGAGUCAGAUGCCUGGAUCAGAGUGCCUCGGUGAAGUAGCCUACUUCUUAAUGUACUUCUUCGUCUUCAGUAAUUUUUGGGAAAUGAAGGGAUAACCCAAUUCGCCGUAAGGAUCUUUGCUGCCCCCUGCUGGUAAACCUUGCGUUGGCGUAAGGGCUGUCGUUAACGUGACUAUAGGGUUAGAAAAAAAGGUGUGUUUUUUUUUUUCCAGACUUUUUGUAUAUAUUAGUACAAUACAUACAAAAAAGUUUAUGUUCAGUAUAAUUUAACAAAAUAUAUCCAAAAUAAUAAAGUUA